rnacentral:rRNA from 1 species
UCCGGAGGAGGCAAUCGUUAUCCGGAAGUAUUGGGCGUAAAGCGUCCGUAGGUGGAUGGCCAAGUCUGCUGUGAAAGGGUGGGGCUUAACCUCAUAAAGGCAGUGGAAACUGGCGAGCUAGAGUGCGGUAGGGGUAGGGGGAAUUCCCAGUGUAGCGGUGAAAUGCGUAGAGAUUGGGAAGAACAUCGGUGGCGAAAGCGCCCUGCUGGGCCUGCACUGACACUGAGGGACGAAAGCUAGGGGAGAGAAAGGG